rnacentral:piRNA from 1 species
UUCUUCAGCUGAAUUUCCUGCUUGCUGGG